rnacentral:tmRNA from 1 species
GGGGGUGUAAAGGUUUCGACGGGGAUUGCGAGCCUUGAUAAGCGAGUGGCGGUGCGGAACCGCCUAAAAAUCCGCAACUUAAAAAUAACUGACAAAAAUACAGUUGCUUUAGCAGCUUAAUGCUGCUCGUUCCUGCCGGGAGGACCACGACCCGGCAAGGGGCGUCGAUUAGUGGUAAAUGUGAACAGGGAAUCGCUCCGAGCCCUGUCACAGCUUAGGAGCUGCCAAACCGCGCAGCCUGUCGAUGGGCGUCGCGGCAAGGGAGAUUAAAAACACCGACUGCACUCGGAGAAGGUCUUGGUAAACGAUUUUCGGACAGGGGUUCGACUCCCCUCACCUCCACCA